UAAUCAUUGACUGCAGAGCCGACAUGACGUCCCUUUGGAUGAGGACGUGUCCAAAUGGGUGAAAACCAGUAGAAGUCAGUCCUCAUACUGGAGUGUUUGUGAGGGUCAGCUUGAAAGAGAAGACGUACAGGAUUCUGGUGUGUUGCAGGCCGGCUACUAAGGAACCACACCCGUCGGGAACCAUGAACCGCCAUUGUUGGACGCACGAGCGGUGAGAGCAGUCAGGAACGAAGCACUAUGUCGACGUCAACACUAGAUACAGUAUAUAAAACAUUGUACACACACUCAAAAUAUAUUAAAAAAAACUUGUAUAAACACUAAUAAUGACAAAGGUUAAAAAAGAAGCGCGCCUUGGAAGUCGUAGGAAAGGUCUGCAAACAUUAUGGGAUGAGUUCCCUACUUUUGUUUGUUUCCUUACGUUGUUUUUUGCUCUGAACCAAAUGUUUUAUGUUCAUGAAUAAUUUGUGAGAUAAUUGGUUUGUUUCCAGGAUUAAAACUAGUGUAAAUGUAAACUCUAGUGUAAAUCUGCCUCCUCCGUGUAGAAAGCUUGAAUAUAAACUACAGCUGGAUAAGGAGAAAUAAUUGAUUAUGUACAGCCUGAUAAGGAGAGAGUAUUGAUGUAUGGUUUGAUAAGGAGAGACGGAUGCAUGUGUAGUCAUCAAGUGAGUUUUAUUGCCGUAGUUUAGUCAGUGGACUGGCCCGGGAUCACAGUGGGCUAGCAUGGCUAGCAUGGUUAGCAUGAAACCCUGACAUUACAUCUCGUCAUUACAUGGGGACCAACACUCCAUUAAAUCAAUUAAAUCAAACCACCAGUUAGCCCUUUAGCUUCCUGCUAACACUGGUUCAUUCAAACCAACCAUUAGCUUGCUGCUAGCCUAGCCUAGCCAGUAAUCUUCUCGCAUGGAGUGAGAUGUUAAAUAUCAACUUGGCUAACUGAUGAUCUGCAGUCAGGAAAACACAUAAACACAGUUUGGAAGGGAGACAGUGCAAGGCUAACUUUGUUUGUUUAGACAACUUGAGGCCUGGUUUGGUACAGCGUGCAGAUUAAUGAGCUGAUGCUAACAAGUUAGCUUUAUUUAUAUAUUUAUACUCGUACCUAUUAUGGCAUAAUUAAUCCUAUAUAUGUAUAAUAUAUAAUAGAUCCUAUAUACCAUAAUCAAUUUAUGCAAUAUACAUCUAUAGAGUAUAUAGGAUCUAGAUAUAUACAUACACCUAUACUAUAUAUAAAUGAUUAUUGUGAAGUACAAGUGGCUCUAUAGUUGUACUCAUUCAGACGAAAGUUACUUGAUUUUUCACUUUAUUUCAGUCUUCCUCUGAUGUAGAUCAGGCCAGUCCGCGACCAAUCAGGGAAAGGACAACCGUUUCUUUCCCCGCCCACUCACCAAACCAGACAAGGCGCUAGUGUUGCAUAGCCAUUAAAGAGAUCUGAUAAACAGGACUUUACAGCAUUUGUUUACACAUUUUCCCUCCAUUUCCACUAAAAACAAAGGUGAUGAAAUACAUUCAAGCCGUUGGCAGACCUCUAUUCUACAUGUGGAUCUACUCUGUACCCCGUCUACAGCAUACAGUAGAGUGUCACGUUUACAGUACUGUACCCUGUGUACAGUAAUCACGUUUACAGUACUGUACCCUGUGUACAGCAGACAGUAGAGUCACGUUUACAGUACUGUACCGUUUACAGUAUGCUGGUUUAUUUGUAAAGAACUCCCUUCCAGUUCAUAGUACAUAUCAAGUUUUGGCAGAUCAGUUCAUGUAGUCAUAAGAAGUAGUACUAGGUAGUUAGCAGUACACCUGCAGGCUAACUAGGUCUAUAUCAAUCCGGUCUGUGGCAUGAGUUCAUCUCACACAGCGACCAUUUCGGCAACCCUCACUAUUAUACAGAUCUGCUUCCUUUCAAGUCUUUGUGAUUGUGUGAAGAAUGAUGAGCAGACAUUGAACUAGUACUACAUUAGUACUAAAUAAUUCUUACUACAUGUUAUUAAGAGUACUACAUGUAAUGUAGUACAUGUAAUGUAGUACUACAUGUAUCUAAUGGUACAACAUGUAAUUAGUACUACAUGUUAUUAAGUACUAUAUGUAAUUAGUACUACAUGUUUUAAGUACUCGAUGUUAUUAAUACUACAUGUAAUUAGUACUACAUGUUAUGAAUACUACAUUAGUAGUUCAUGUCAACAAUACUACAUGUAAUAAGUACUACAUGUUUUGACUACUACAUGUAAGUGUUGUUACUUCUAGAUGUUAUCACUACAGAUACCGUAGGGGAUGG
ensembl:lncRNA